rnacentral:rRNA from 1 species
UACGUAGGGGGCAAGCGUUGUCCGGAUUUAUUGGGCGUAAAGAGCGUGUAGGCGGCUUUACAGGUCCGUUGUGAAAACUGGAGGCUCAACUUCCAGACGUCGACGUGAAACCGCGUGCGUAGAGUCCGGAAGAGGCGAGUGGAAUUCCUGGUGUAGCGGUGGAAAUGCGCAGAUAUCAGGAAGAACACCAACGGCGAAGGCAG